GUNGAGUUGUUUGGGAAUGCUGCUCAAAAUGGGAGGUAAACCCCUUCUAAAGCUAAAUACCGGCCAGAGACCGAUAGCGCACAAGUAGAGUGAUCGAAAGAUGAAAAGCACUUUGAAAAGAGAGUUAAAAAGCACGUGAAAUUGUUGAAAGGGAAGCGCUUGCGACCAGACUCGCGCCCGUCGGAUCAGCCGUCGCUCGUCGGCGGCGCACUCCGGCGGGCUCGGGCCAGCAUCAGUUCGCCUCGGGGGGAGAAAGGCGGCAGGAAUGUGGCUCUACGGAGUGUUAUAGCCUGCCGUACAAUACCCCCGGGCGGACUGAGGACCGCGCGUAUGCAAGGAUGCUGGCGUAAUGGUCGUCAGCNACCCGUCUUGAAACAC
rnacentral:rRNA from 1 species